rnacentral:rRNA from 1 species
GAUGAACGCUGGCGGCGUGCCUAAUACAUGCAAGUCGAGCGAACGGACGAGAAGCUUGCUUCUCUGAUGUUAGCGGCGGACGGGUGAGUAACACGUGGAUAACCUACCUAUAAGACUGGGAUAACUUCGGGAAACCGGAGCUAAUACCGGAUAAUAUUUUGAACCGCAUGGUUCAAAAGUGAAAGACGGUCUUGCUGUCACUUAUAGAUGGAUCCGCGCUGCAUUAGCUAGUUGGUAAGGUAACGGCUUACCAAGGCAACGAUGCAUAGCCGACCUGAGAGGGUGAUCGGCCACACUGGGACUGAGACACGGUCCAGACUCCUACGGGAGGCAGCAGUAGGGAAUCUUCCGCAAUGGGCGAAAGCCUGACGGAGCAACGCCGCGUGAGUGAUGAAGGUCUUCGGAUCGUAAAACUCUGUUAUUAGGGAAGAACAUAUGUGUAAGUAACUGUGCACAUCUUGACGGUACCCAAUCAGAAAGCCACGGCUAACUACGUG